UAAAAUACAAACACCCAGUAUUUUCGGCCACCCGCGUAUCACUCACCCGUUGGUGGCCUCUCUAAGCUGGCAGAUAGACGUUCAAUGAACCACUUAAGUUCCGUUGUGAAGUUGUUAGUCUUUAAAGACUGUAUUUCAUGACACUACUGUAGUUCGCACACAC
rnacentral:snoRNA from 24 species